ACCACCAGCACAGGUCUUGAAUUACAAAAGUUCAACUCGAACAACUCUUAAGAAUCGAAUUUGAAGUAUGGUGGACUCCAUUGAGAGUGUGAAGACCUGACCCAGGCCAUCCGGGAGCCUGACAGAGCCUGGAUGUCACCCUUGGAAUUUUUAAUCGUGCUUAAAACUUGAUCAGAUAGUUUGACAAAUGCUGCGUAGGCCCCUAGAAAGUGGUAAGCCCUCUGCUGGCUCUGAGGAUUAUAAAGAAAGCAGUUAAUGAGAAUUAUGUAAUCCAGGAUGUUUUACAUUUUGCCUUAGCUGCUACCAGGAAGCUCAGAGCUAUAUUGUACCCAUAAGGAGACAACUCUAAGAACCAAGCCAGUAAGCUGAGGAUGACAGAGCAAAAAAGAUGGAGGAGGCUGUGUCCUUGAAGUCAAUCUUGAAAACUUCCAAAUUCU